CAAACUAAUUCUUAUCUGCUUCUCACGCUCCCAACACACAAUCCAAGUACAAGGCUUCAACUCACUCAUGUCUGGUAGUUUAAUCCCCGCUUUAGCUAAAGCCACAGGCGUUGUUUUCGCCGGAGUUCUCGCCGCAUCUCUGGCCUCCACCGCCAUCAAACUCAAUUACCAAAAGCACAAGAUAAAAAAUGGGAAAGAAUGUGGGGUGUGUAAAGGCAAAGGCUUUUACAAAUGCAAAUUAUGCAAAGGGAAAUCAACAAUUGAAUGGUCUCCUCUGUAUGAUCCUGUUGUGAUUAACCCCUGUCUUUGCCCUACUUGUGAUGGAAAUAAGGUUCAGAAGUGUCUCAACUGUUUGGGGGAUUGCUAUGUUUAGAGGUAUGACGCGGGACACAAUGCUUUAUAUGCUGUUCUUUGGAUAUUUGUUCGCGUGUCAUGGCAUUGCAGGACUGAGAUUCUUCUUGUAUUUUGCAACAGGGAUAACAAAUAUCUACUAAAGGUGAUCAACUGCUGGCACGUUCUGCUUUUUCCCCCCCUUAUAAGAUUCAAGAGGAAGAUAUAAGUGUACUUCCUUUAUUCUAGAACUUGUCAUCUAUGUAUCUUUUUGUACAGUAUGAAAGUCGUGGAUACGUCUUUUUUGUACAGUAUGAAAAUUGGAGAUACAUUUGUUAUAACACUAUGAAAUUCCAUGAGCAGCAGCAUGUGCCAUGAAAUGUUUCAAGUUUUUCUGUGGAUAAAUUCGUUUGAAGUAUCAAGUUCUGCCUUACAAAUAUGUUUCACUUUUUAAGAACUGGUAGGAAUCUAUCUGUUCAUUUGAUUAUGUCAUUGGUGGUAUACUGGUAUUCCUUAUAGAAAAUGAAUCUUUUGUUUUGGAUAGAAGGGAGUUCUCAAUUUAUGAUUUGUUGAAGACAUUAAUAUCCGUUUGGGCUUCAAUGAAUGUUCUUAUCAAAUAGAUGAUAUUAGUCCUCAUUAUGAUUUGUUAAACAUGUUAAUAAAUGUAUAAAAGAUCUUCUCGUUAUGGAUAAUAUGUCUCUUUUUUUUCUAUAUAAGUAUGAAGUUUGCGGGAAAACAAAUAUUCUCAACGUGGUUGACAUUAUAAUGCUCUUAAUCUUUUGGAUGACUAUGAUCGCUGUUUAGCUUUAGGUAUGUAUCCGCAGUGUACGAUGUUCCUUGAUAUUCACCACUCUGUGCUUUGUAAUAUACUUAUAAAUCUUGAAAUUGGCCGUGGUCGAAAGAAUUUGCAUAUUAAAUAUACCCAGGCGCCAGGCCAGGCAAAUGAGUAGGAGUCGUAAAGGUAAAUUCUAGCUUAAAGCUAAGCCUUAAAAUGCAUAUAGAUGCACUAGUUAUAGAAUGUUCAGUACUUGCCAUUGGUGUGCAGAUCUUGUUUUCUUUGUUGAUAAUGAUAUAUGUCAGUAUUUUCUGUGAUAUGUGUAUUUUUGGGGAACGAAAGUAAUUAAAAUCCUUUUUCUCCUCUCCCCUGCUCGAAACACAGUGCUAACUGUUCCAAAACAGGCAGAUGUCCUGUACUUCAUUUAUUUUGGAUAUAAUAGAGUAUGGAAUAGGAGUAUGGCGCACAACUAUUAAUAUUGUGAAGCUAUAGCGCUAUGGUAAUUGGUAAGGACGGUGCAAGUUGAAUUUUUGGUGUGUGAUUCGAAGGAAGUAGUGUUUAAAAAUUAGUCGAUCAUAACCUUGUCUGUUGUAUACGUGGUUGUGUUGAUAUCAAGUAAUCUGAAGAAAAGAUUCAGGCAGUCUUAAGAAACUAGCUAUCAUCAUGUGCUGAUUUAAUCAUAAGACAUAUACAAUGAAAGUGUCUGAAUAGCACAAUACAGCUGAUUGCUCAUUUUAACACUUUCUAUGCAUUUACAUAAACUUAUUAUUGGUGACAUACUGACAUGUAUUUUACAAGUUGUGGUAUGUCUGAGUGGUGAAGGAGUCAGCGUAAGGAUCUGCUCGUAUAUUUUUGAUUCUUGCCGUGAAAAUACAAGGGGAUGUGUUAAAAUGAACAACUUUCUCAAAUGUGAUAUUUUUGGUCAGACCACUCUUUGCAUUGGGCCCAUUGAUUGGACAUUGCAUGCCCAUUGUGCUAUGUCCCGGAAGACACAAAUGGGUAUGCAGAUGCUUCAUGGCUGCAGUUCCAUAUCAUACACGUCCAUGUUGUUUUAAAUUGCUCCACUUCCACUUUGUUGAUAUUUUCUUCCCCUGUAUGUGAAAUGCAUCUUUGUUAAGUGUAUGUAUGGAUCUCUGUAUGCAUUGUUGGAAUUGUCAGAGGCAUAUUUUUGCGGGAGUGGAGGUGUUCAGUUGAGAUAAUGUUUCCUGUGCUACAUCCAUGGUUGAUAUCCUGUCCCUUGUGCUUAAACACCCACUCCUAAAGAUAAUUUUACCACCGUAAUAUCACAUUUUGUCAUUUUCAUAUUAGAGUAGAUAUUAACAUUGCACAUUGCUUAAUUAUGCAUUAUUGUUUCACAUUAUUGCUUAAUUAUGCAUUUAGUGAUCAAUUUGCAUCAAGUUAAUAACCUGUGUAACAUUUUGUGCUUAUAAUGUUUUGAUUUUUUUCCUUUUAAAAUGUUAUAUUUUGACGCUGACAUUCAUAUACUGUCUAGUGGUGUAUCGAAGGAUUUGCUGAUAGUGUUGGUGGUGCCGGAGAUAGUGAAGGAAGGGGGUUCUGAAUGUAUGGGGCAAGUUAUGGAGGGAUGUGUUUAUUAAAAGAUAUGCUGCUCUGCCCUCCUACAUCUUCUGCUAGUCUUGUUGUCCGAAAUUGGAACCAAAAGCGAACUCGAUAAGAUCUUUGCAGAGGUAAGGUGAAGAAAAUCCUUGCCUUUCAAUAUGCAGCAUAUAUUAAACAUGCAAUCUUGUCUGUUCGUAACCCCUGUAUUAUUCACACUAUCAAAUGAAUCCAUAUAAAAACAAAAUAAAAGAAAAUUGAGGGGUUCGAACUACAGACGAGAAUGUGUAUCGUAGUUAGUUUUCUUGAGAAAGAAAACCUAUUUUUAUCCUUUAUAUACGAUAAAAUAAACUUGUUAUUGAAGUGAAUUAAUGUGAUUUAUUUUCAUUUUA